GCCGAGGUGGUGAAAUUGGCAGACACGCCAUCUUGAGGGGGUGGUGAGCGUAAGCUCUUGGGGGUUCAAAUCCCCCCCUCGGCACCA
rnacentral:tRNA from 1 species